GUAGGUGGCAAGCGUUGUCCGGAAUUAUUGGGCGUAAAGCGCGCGCAGGCGGUUCUUUAAGUCUGAUGUGAAAGCCCACGGCUCAACCGUGGAGGGUCAUUGGAAACUGGAGAACUUGAGUACAGAAGAGGAAAGCGGAAUUCCACGUGUAGCGGUGAAACGCGUAGAGAUGUGGAGGAACACCAGUGGCGAAGGCGGCUUUCUGGUCUGUAACUGACGCUGAGGCGCGAAAGCGUGGGGAGCAAACAGGGAUUAGAUACCCUGGUAGUCCACGCCGUAAACGAUGAGUGCUAAGUGUUAGGGGGGUUUCCCCCCCCCCCCGUUAGUGCUGCAGCUAACGCAUUAAGCACUCCGCCUGGGGAGUACGGCCGCAAGGCUG
rnacentral:rRNA from 1 species